rnacentral:rRNA from 1 species
GACGAACGCUGGCGGCGCGCUUAACACAUGCAAGUCGAGCGAGAACCAAGCCUUCGGGCUUGGGGACAGCGGCGAACGGGUGAGUAACACGUGGGUAAUCAACCCUCGGCACUGGGGUAGCCCGGGGAAACCCGGAUUAAUACCGGAUACCCCAUCUGGCCUUCGGACCGGCUGGAAAAGGUAGCUUCGGCCUCCGGUCGGGGACGAGCCCGCGGCGGAUUAGCUUGUUGGUGGGGUAAAGGCCCACCAAGGCGACGAUCCGUAGCUGGUCUGAGAGGAAGAUCAGCCACACUGGGACUGAGACACGGCCCAGACUCCUACGGGAGGCAGCAGUGGGGAAUCUUGCGCAAUGGGCGAAAGCCUGAUGCAGCGACGCCGCGUGAGAGAAGAAGGCCUUCGGGUUGUAAACCUCUUUCAGGAGGGACGAAGCCACUCGGGUUAAUAGCCCAGAGGGUGACGGUACCUCCAGAAGAAGCCCCGGCUAACUACGUGCCAGCCGCCGCAGUAACAC